UGGCAUGUGGAACUUAUUCCCGCUGAAGCAGUGUUCCCGGGGGAACGCUUUGAGUGUAACCCUGUUCCCAGGCCUGUGUGUGCGUUUGUUGUUGUGACAACCCCAAAUGAUGGAUUGGCAACAGGUGUGGGGGAUUUACUCAGAGUUUGCGUGAGGCCUCAUCAACAGUGGAGAGGAUAAAAAGCAAGAGAGAGAGGUGGUGCGUGUGGUUUUUCUCCCUUGUGAAAAGUCGUUUUAUUGGGUGGUAAUAGUUACUGGAGGACGGGUGAAUGAAGAGGACAGUGUUGCUUGAUGAGGGAUUCGAGAACAACAGCAGGAGAGUGAAUUACCCUGUUUGCAUUGGAGAGGAGCUGAGUAACUGAGAACUGAGUCUUGUAAUUGCACACGUUUGACACUGAAUUGGAUGUGGUUUGGAGUGUUUGGAUCACGAUCAUAAAUAUCACUGAGUGGAUUGUAUUGAUUCAUCACCGAUCUCUUACCUCUCCCUCCUCUAUAAAUGGUGAUGUGAACUCUGCCUGUGACUGUGAAGAAAAACAUCUCAGAACAUCCUCAGUGGCAGUGAGGAUUGCGCCCUCCCCCUUCCCUUCGGACAGAAACCCGAAUGAGAAGAGAUGCCCUGUUGAAAUAUUUACUAUCUGCCUCAGAAAAGCUCUGUGCAACCUGUUGACUUCGAGUCUGCUGUAUUCCUGCCAUUCAACUGUAUGGUGAGAGGUGUUCGCUCCUUCCAAUACAUGUGAAUUGUAUACUUGCCUGAAACAUCCAUUCUGUCUGUCUCAGAAGAAGCCCCAUUCAGCCUGUUGACUUCGAGUCUGCUGUAUCCCUGCCAUUCAACUGUAUGAAACCCUGCACAGCCUGUUGACUUAGAGUUUGUUGCAUCCUUGUGGCCCACCUGUGCUGAGAGAGGUGACUGUCCUUUGUCACGAACGUGAGAUGGGCACGCUUUGUCUGGAAUAUCCACUCUGACGGUGUCAGGAGAAGCCACCUUACUGUAAGACCGUGCACCUGCCGUAUACGUACUUGACUGAUAUCAUUCACCUCAAAUUCCGUACCUGUGGAAGAAGGAAGGAAGGCUGGAAUUACAUACUUACCGGAGGAGACUUACCGGACCCCUCACUUGCCAAACACAUCCCCACCUCAAGGCUGUGUAUCUGCCGUGUACGGACCUGACCGAUAUCCAUCCGUCCCAAAUUCUGCAUCUGUGAAGAAGGGAAGGGAGUUUGGAAGUAUUUAAUUACCAGGGGAGACUUACCAGACUGCGGGCUUGCCGAUUGUAUUCCCACCUGUGAAAUACCUACUUGACCACCCAUCUGUCCAUCUAUUGCGGGGCCCGCACAGAGGAAGAGGGCGGGAGAGUCCCCGGUCGCUGCACUGUUUACCUUCAAGCCCUGAGGGUAACAAAGAAGA